rnacentral:rRNA from 1 species
UAUUUUAGUCUUGUUAGAGGAACCUGUUUUAUAAUCGAUAAACCACGAAUAUCUUACUUAUUUUAAAUAACUUGUAUACCGUCAUUAUUAGAUAACUUUAAAAAAAAAAUUAGUUAUUAAAAUUAAAUAAAAUUAAAUAUAUUAGAUCAAGGUGCAGUUAAUAAAUAAGAAAAAAUGGGUUACAAUAAAAUUUAUUUAAACGAAUUAUAUAAAUGAAAAAAUAUAUGAAGGAGGAUUUAAUUGUAAUUUUUUAUAAAAUAAUAAUAUGAUAAUAGCUCUAAAAUAU